rnacentral:rRNA from 1 species
ACAUGUAUGAAAGACAAGCUGAAAGACUUUUCUCAAUGAUGUAAGUGGUGGUGCAUGGUCGUUCUUAGUUCGUGGAGUGGUUUGUCUGGUCUAUUCCGAUAACGAGCGAGACCCCGGCGUUCCUAAUAGGGGCAGCAGCCCGGCUUUCGCCCGCAAGGGUGUUCGCUAGCACGCUGCCUCACAAUAUGCUUCUUAGACGUAUCAGAGCCGAUAAGGUUCUUGAAAUGGGUUAAUAACAGGUCAGUCAUGCCCUUAGAUGUUCUGGGCCGCACGCGCGUUACAAUGGCAUGCUUUAGAAAGUGCUCAAAAGGGCGUCUCCGCGGCCUACAGGCUGCGGUAACCCCUAGUCCCUGCCUUGACUGGGACAGACUAUUGCAAUUAUUGGUCUCAAACGAGGAAUUUUUAGUAGUCGCAGGUCAUUAACCUGCGACGA